rnacentral:rRNA from 1 species
UACGGGGGGGGCAAGCGUUAUUCGGAAUUAUUGGGCGUAAAGGGCGCGUAGGCGGCUUGGCAAGUGGAUGGUGAAAUCCCUCGGACCUUAACCGAGGGAACGGCCGUCCAAACUGCUUCGCUUGAGACCGGGAGAGGUGAGUGGAAUUCCCAGUGUAGCGGUGAAAUGCGUAGAUAUUGGGAGGAACACCAGUGGCGAAGGCGGACUCACUGG